rnacentral:lncRNA from 1 species
GGGGUCACGCGCAGCCGGAAGUGGCGGCUGCUGCGGAGAAUUGGAGAUGGGGACCGCCCUGGACAUCAAGAUUAAAAGAGCGAAUAAAGUUUAUCACGCCGGGGUGAGUGAAUUAUUGUAAGGCAAACCCUUGUAACCCUACCCACAUCCUGCUGGAGAGGAGACUGGAAGUAGGAUCACUCCAUCUAGAUUCUGGGAGAAGACCCUGCUCCAAAGGACCUUGAUGAGGUUUCAUGGUUUGGUAACCUCAUGCACUGUGGGAAUGUCAGAGGACCCCGAGAUAAUGCUUCACUGCCAAGUCUGAAAAUUGUGUCCACAAGAUUUGAUUGGUAGUAUUUUCUAUCAUUGUACAACUUAAAAUAUCUUCUAAUUUCCAUUUUUUUUUUUGACAUGAGUUGUAUAGAAAUGUGUGCUUCAGUUUCUGUUAUAGCAACAACUCUUGUCACCCAUAGCCUUACAAAAAUUCCUAAUUUUAAUAUUUAAAUUUUAGAAACUUUCUUACAAGCAGAAUUACAAAAAGAGUAACUAACAAGAAAGUGAGAUUGUGAUGGGAUAACGGAAUGUCAAGUCUAAUUGUCAGGAAAAGACAAAAUAACAUGGGAAUGACAAUCAAAAUGGACUAAGGACUUAGAAGAUCCGAAACUAUGAAGCUACUAAAAGAAACAUUGGGGAAUGCUCCAGGACAUUGGUCUGGGCAAAGAUUUCUUGAGCAAUACCUUAAAAGGACAGGCAACCCAAGCAAAAAUGGACAGAUGGGAUCACAUCAAGCUAAAAAACUUCUACACAGCGAAGGAAACAAAGUGAACAGAAUAACAUGGGAAUGUUUUCUGUAAUUUAGUAGUAACUGGCAAUAGUUUACAAACACAUUUUGUGUAUACUGCUGUCAUUGCACUGAUUACCUUCUGUUGUAGUGACUUUGUUCUAUUAGUCCACUCAAUUAAAAUAUUUGGUUUUGUUUA